GUCUAAAGUGGUAGGUCUCGCUAUCCAUGAUGACGAUUCAAGAUAUUCCCGUUCAGAGCAUGAAUCUGGUGGCUAGAUAUGACUUUGCUCAUGUUUCUUCCACCUUUGAUGAUUUUUCCUUGUUCUUCAAUGAGACAGGAUGAAGGGAAUAUGUUCUGAGUGGA
rnacentral:snoRNA from 8 species